CAGCCGCCGCGGGAAUACGAAGGGGGCUAGCGUUGCUCGGAAUUACUGGGCGUAAAGGGCGCGUAGGCGGACAGUUCAGUCGGGGGUGAAAGCCCGGGGCUCAACCUCGGAAUUGCCUUCGAUACUGGCUGUCUUGAGUAUGAGAGAGGUGUGUGGAACUCCGAGUGUAGAGGUGAAAUUCGUAGAUAUUCGGAAGAACACCAGUGGCGAAGGCGACACACUGGCUCAUUACUGACGCUGAGGCGCGAAAGCGUGGGGAGCAAACAGGAUUAGAUACCCCUGUAGUCCCUGUCUCUUAUAC
rnacentral:rRNA from 1 species